rnacentral:rRNA from 1 species
GAUGAACGCUGGCGGCGUGCCUAAUACAUGCAAGUCGAGCGAACGGACGAGAAGCUUGCUUCUCUGAUGUUAGCGGCGGACGGGUGAGUAACACGUGGAUAACCUACCUAUAAGACUGGGAUAACUUCGGGAAACCGGAGCUAAUACCGGAUAAUAUUUUGAACCGCAUUAUUCAAAAGUGAAAGACGGUCUUGCUGUCACUUAUAGAUGGAUCCGCGCUGCAUUAGCUAGUUGGUAAGGUAACGGCUUACCAAGGCAACGAUGCAUAGCCGACCUGAGAGGGUGAUCGGCCACACUGGAACUGAGACACGGUCCAGACUCCUACGGGAGGCAGCAGUAGGGAAUCUUCCGCAAUGGGCGAAAGCCUGACGGAGCAACGCCGCGUGAGUGAUGAAGGUCUUCGGAUCGUAAAACUCUGUUAUUAGGGAAGAACAGAUGUGUAAGUAACUGUGCACAUCUUGACGGUACCUAAUCAGAAAGCCACGGCUAACUACGUG